rnacentral:rRNA from 1 species
UUAAGCGACUAAGCGUACACGGUGGAUGCCCUGGCAGUCAGAGGCGAUGAAGGACGUGCUAAUCUGCGAAAAGCGUCGGUAAGGUGAUAUGAACCGUUAUAACCGGCGAUGUCCGAAUGGGGAAACCCAGUGCAAUUCGUUGCACUAUCGUUAACUGAAUACAUAGGUUAACGAGGCGAACCGGGGGAACUGAAACAUCUAAGUACCCCGAGGAAAAGAAAUCAACCGAGAUUCCCCCAGUAGCGGCGAGCGAACGGGGAGCAGCCCAGAGUCUGAAUCAGCUUGUGUGUUAGUGGAACGGUCUGGAAAGUCCGACGGUACAGGGUGAUAGUCCCGUACACCAAAAUGCACAGGUUGUGAACUCGAAGAGUAGGGCGGGACACGUGGUAUCCUGUCUGAAUAUGGGGGGACCAUCCUCCAAGGCUAAAUACUCCUGACUGACCGAUAGUGAACCAGUACCGUGAGGGAAAGGCGAAAAGAACCCCGGCGAGGGGAGUGAAAAAGAACCUGAAACCGUGUACGUACAAGCAGUGGGAGCACCUUCGGGUGUGACUGCGUACCUUUUGUAUAAUGGGUCAGCGACUUAUAUUCUGUAGCAAGGUUAACCGUAUAGGGGAGCCGCAGGGAAACCGAGUCUUAACUGGGCGUUAAGUUGCAGGGUAUAGACCCGAAACCCGGUGAUCUAGCCAUGGGCAGGUUGAAGGUUGGGUAACACUAACUGGAGGACCGAACCGACUAAUGUUGAAAAAUUAGCGGAUGACUUGUGGCUGGGGGUGAAAGGCCAAUCAAACCGGGAGAUAGCUGGUUCUCCCCGAAAGCUAUUUAGGUAGCGCCUCGUGAAUUCAUCUUCGGGGGUAGAGCACUGUUUCGGCUAGGGGGUCAUCCCGACUUACCAACCCGAUGCAAACUACGAAUACCGAAGAAUGUUAUCACGGGAGACACACGGCGGGUGCUAACGUCCGUCGUGAAGAGGGAAACAACCCAGACCGCCAGCUAAGGUCCCAAAGUCAUGGUUAAGUGGGAAACGAUGUGGGAAGGCACAGACAGCCAGGAUGUUGGCUUAGAAGCAGCCAUCAUUUAAAGAAAGCGUAAUAGCUCACUGGUCGAGUCGGCCUGCGCGGAAGAUGUAACGGGGCUAAACCAUGCACCGAAGCUGCGGCAGCGACACUAUGUGUUGUUGGGUAGGGGAGCGUUCUGUAAGCCUGCGAAGGUGUGCUGUGAGGCAUGCUGGAGGUAUCAGAAGUGCGAAUGCUGACAUAAGUAACGAUAAAGCGGGUGAAAAGCCCGCUCGCCGGAAGACCAAGGGUUCCUGUCCAACGUUAAUCGGGGCAGGGUGAGUCGACCCCUAAGGCGAGGCCGAAAGGCGUAGUCGAUGGGAAACAGGUUAAUAUUCCUGUACUUGGUGUUACUGCGAAGGGGGGACGGAGAAGGCUAUGUUAGCCGGGCGACGGUUGUCCCGGUUUAAGCAUGUAGGCUGGUUGUCCAGGCAAAUCCGGAUAAUCAAGGCUGAGGUGUGAUGACGAGGCACUACGGUGCUGAAGUAACAAAUGCCCUGCUUCCAGGAAAAGCCUCUAAGCAUCAGGUAACAUCAAAUCGUACCCCAAACCGACACAGGUGGUCAGGUAGAGAAUACCAAGGCGCUUGAGAGAACUCGGGUGAAGGAACUAGGCAAAAUGGUGCCGUAACUUCGGGAGAAGGCACGCUGGUGUGUAGGUGAAGUCCCUGCGGAUGGAGCUGAGACCAGUCGAAGAUAUCAGCUGGCUGCAACUGUUUAUUAAAAACACAGCACUGUGCAAACACGAAAGUGGACGUAUACGGUGUGACGCCUGCCCGGUGCCGGAAGGUUAAUUGAUGGGGUUAUCCGUAAGGAGAAGCUCUUGAUCGAAGCCCCGGUAAACGGCGGCCGUAACUAUAACGGUCCUAAGGUAGCGAAAUUCCUUGUCGGGUAAGUUCCGACCUGCACGAAUGGCGUAAUGAUGGCCAGGCUGUCUCCACCCGAGACUCAGUGAAAUUGAACUCGCUGUGAAGAUGCAGUGUACCCGCGGCAAGACGGAAAGACCCCGUGAACCUUUACUAUAGCUUGACACUGAACAUUGAGCCUUGAUGUGUAGGAUAGGUGGGAGGCUUUGAAGCGUGGACGCCAGUCUGCGUGGAGCCAACCUUGAAAUACCACCCUUUAAUGUUUGAUGUUCUAACGUUGGCCCCUGACCGGGGUUGCGGACAGUGUCUGGUGGGUAGUUUGACUGGGGCGGUCUCCUCCCAAAGCGUAACGGAGGAGCACGAAGGUUAGCUAAUCCUGGUCGGACAUCAGGAGGUUAGUGCAAUGGCAUAAGCUAGCUUGACUGCGAGCGUGACGGCGCGAGCAGGUGCGAAAGCAGGUCAUAGUGAUCCGGUGGUUCUGAAUGGAAGGGCCAUCGCUCAACGGAUAAAAGGUACUCCGGGGAUAACAGGCUGAUACCGCCCAAGAGUUCAUAUCGACGGCGGUGUUUGGCACCUCGAUGUCGGCUCAUCACAUCCUGGGGCUGAAGUAGGUCCCAAGGGUAUGGCUGUUCGCCAUUUAAAGUGGUACGCGAGCUGGGUUUAGAACGUCGUGAGACAGUUCGGUCCCUAUCUGCCGUGGGCGCUGGAGAAUUGAGGGGGGCUGCUCCUAGUACGAGAGGACCGGAGUGGACGCAUCACUGGUGUUCGGGUUGUCAUGCCAAUGGCACUGCCCGGUAGCUAAAUGCGGAAGAGAUAAGUGCUGAAAGCAUCUAAGCACGAAACUUGCCCCGAGAUGAGUUCUCCCUGAGACUUUAAGUCUCCUGAAGGAACGUUGAAGACGACGACGUUGAUAGGCCGGGUGUGUAAGCGCAGCGAUGCGUUGAGCUAACCGGUACUAAUGAACCGUGAGGCUUAACCUU